rnacentral:tRNA from 1 species
AAGACGCUAGUAAAAUCAAUUACACUGCCUUGUCGAGGCAGAAUUGUGGGUUAAACCCCCGCGCAUCUUAU